CCCGGUCGUACUCAUAACCGCA
rnacentral:sRNA from 1 species